AACGAACGCUGGCGGCAUGCCUAACACAUGCCAGUCGAACGAGACCUUUGGGUCUAGUGGCGCACGGGUGCGUAACGCGUGGGAAUCUGCCCUUGGGUUCGGAAUAACAGUGAGAAAUUGCUGCUAAUACCGGAUGAUGUCUUCGGACCAAAGAUUUAUCGCCCAGGGAUGAGCCCGCGUAGGAUUAGCUAGUUGGUGGGGUAAUGGCCUACCAAGGCGACGAUCCUUAGCUGGUCUGAGAGGAUGAUCAGCCACACUGGGACUGAGACACGGCCCAGACCCCGCCGGGGGGAGGAAGGGGGAAAUAUGGAACAAGGGGCGAAAGCUGAACCAAGCAUUGCCGGGGGAGGAGGAAGGCCGUUGGGUGUGAAAAAUUUUUCCACGGGGGAGGAAAAGGAGGGUACCGGGAAAAGAACCCCGGGCAACCUUGGUC
rnacentral:rRNA from 1 species